rnacentral:rRNA from 1 species
GAUGAACGCUGGCGGCGUGCCUAAUACAUGCAAGUCGAGCGAACAGACGAGGAGCUUGCUCCUCUGACGUUAGCGGCGGACGGGUGAGUAACACGUGGAUAACCUACCUAUAAGACUGGGAUAACUUCGGGAAACCGGAGCUAAUCCCGGAUAAUAUAUUGAACCGCAUUGUUCAAUAGUGAAAGACGGUUUUGCUGUCACUUAUAGAUGGAUCCGCGCCGCAUUGGCUAGUUGGUAAGGUAACGGCUUACCAAGGCAACGAUGCGUAUCCGACCUGAGAGGGGGAUAGGCCACACGGGAAGUGGGACACGGUCAAGACUCCUACGGGAGGCAGCAGUAGGGAACCGGCCGCAAUGGGCGAAAGCCUGACGGAGCAACGCCGCGUGAAUGAUGAAGGUCUUCGGAUCGUAAAACUCUGUUAUUAGGGAAGAACAAAUGUGUAAGUAACUAUGCACGUCUUGACGGUACCUAAUCAGAAAGCCACGGCUAACUACGUG